UUAUGGCCAUAUCACGUUGAAACAUUGGUUCCCGUAAGAUCACCGAAGUUAAGCAACAUCUGGUCAGUACCUAGAUGAAUGACCUAAUGGGAAUACCAGAUUGUUGUA